rnacentral:rRNA from 1 species
UACGGAGGGUGCAAGCGUUGCUCGGAAUCAUUGGGCGUAAAGCGUACGCAGGCUGUUCGUUAAGUCGGGUGUGAAAGCCCGGGGCUCAACCCCGGAAAUGCGCCCGAAACUGGCGAGCUUGAGUGCGGGAGAGGGAAGCGGAAUUCCUGGUGUAGAGGUGGAAUGCGUAGAUAUCGGGAGGAACACCAGUGGCGAAGGCGGUUGCCUGGAGCUUUGCUGACGCUGAGGCGCGAAAGCGUGGGGAGCGAUCCGG